UAAUAAAAGUGAAUUUUUAUGGCACUUUUAAAACAAUCCAUAUCCACCUUGUGUGCAAUGUUUUUUUUUAUAAUAAACUCAUUUUUUUUAACAUGUUUUGUCUGAAAUAUUUUUUAUGAAUUUUACUUAAUUCUAAAAUA
rnacentral:misc_RNA from 1 species